CCUACGGGGGGCUGCAGUGGGGAAUAUUGGACAAUGGGGGGAACCCUGAUCCAGCCAUGCCGCGUGUGUGAAGAAGGCCCUCGGGUUGUAAAGCACUUUCAGUGAGGAAGAACGCCUGGUGGUUAAUACCCAUCAGGAAAGACAUCACUCACAGAAGAAGCACCGGCUAACUCCGUGCCAGCAGCCGCGGUAAUACGGAGGGUGCGAGCGUUAAUCGGAAUUACUGGGCGUAAAGCGCGCGUAGGUGGCUUGAUAAGCCGGUUGUGAAAGCCCCGGGCUCAACCUGGGAACGGCAUCCGGAACUGUCAAGCUAGAGUGCAGGAGAGGAAGGUAGAAUUCCCGGUGUAGCGGUGCAAUGCGUAGAGAUCGGGAGGAAUACCAGUGGCGAAGGCGGCCUUCUGGACUGACACUGACACUGAGGUGCGAAAGCGUGGGUAGCAAACAGGAUUAGAUACCCGUGUAGUC
rnacentral:rRNA from 1 species